UAUCACCCUUGGCGUUCAACGUUAACAAGUGAGAAGGGCGGCAUAUACUAUAGAAGCAAGAAGAAAGAAAAAUGCAAACAGGAGAAGAUAGAGUUUAUAUUGGCUAGUUGCCCGGUCAUCCCGUUGGAAGAGAUAACAUGUAUACAUAAUCUGUUGGUUUGUCAGGAGCAAACGACUAGGGAAAAUAGAAUGUUGCUAGAAGUGGAGGGUAGAGAGUGAAGAUAAAUUUGGAGGAUCGUUUACUAAUUAAUGUAUAGAUAAGGUUAUGUCAAACUGACACCAUUCUACCAUCAGGACAAAAGUUUGUUGGGAUACAAGUAAACACCAAACCAGUAACAGUAUCAGAAGAAGAAGAAGAAGAUGGAGAUGAAGGACGAGGAACUUAAAGUGAGUUUUUCAUUUUUACAUCUUUUGGUCAGAACUUCUGAUAGAUAGCAUUUGAUCAACGACAAUGAUGAAAAAUUCAAAACAAAAAGAAGAAAUUAAAAACAAGAAUUCAAGUUUCUG